rnacentral:rRNA from 1 species
CCUACGGGCGGCAGCAGUGAGGAAUAUUGGUCAAUGGGCGUAAGCCUGAACCAGCCAAGUCGCGUGAGGGAUGAAGGUUCUAUGGAUCGUAAACCUCUUUUAUAAGGGAAUAAAGUGUGGGACGUGUCCUGUUUUGUAUGUACCUUAUGAAUAAGGAUCGGCUAACUCCGUGCCAGCAGCCGCGGUAAUACGGAGGAUCCGAGCGUUAUCCGGAUUUAUUGGGGUUAAAGGGUGCGUAGGCGGCCUUUUAAGUCAGCGGUGAAAGUCUGUGGCUCAACCAGAGAAUUGCCGUUGAAACUGGGAGGCUUGAGUAUGUUUGAGGCAGGCGGAAGGCGUGGUGUAGCGGUGAAAUGCUUAGAUAUCACGCAGAACCCCGAUGGCGAAGGCAGCCUGCCAAGCCAUGACUGACGCUGAGGCACGAAAGCGUGGGGAUCAAACAGGAUUAGAUACCCGAGUAGUC